UGGGGAAUAUUGGACAAUGGGCGCAAGCCUGAUCCAGCAAUACCGCGUGUGUGAAGAAGGCCUUAGGGUUGUAAAGCACUUUCAAUGGGGAGGAAAACCUGCCGGUCAAUACCCGGCAGCUUGACAUUACCUUUAGAAGAAGCACCGGCUAACUCCGUGCCAGCAGCCGCGGUAAUACGGAGGGUGCGAGCGUUGUCCGGAUUUACUGGGCGUAAAGAGCGUGUAGGCGGUGAUUUAAGUCAAACUUUAAACUCUGGAGCUUAACUCCAGUUCGGGUUUGAGACUGAAUCGCUAGAGAUUGGGAGAGGAAAGCGGAACUAACAGUGUAGCGGUGAAAUGCGUAGAUAUUGUUAGGAACACCCGUGGCGAAGGCGGCUUUCUGGUCCAAUUCUGACGCUGAGACGCGAGAGCGUGGGUAGCAAACAGG
rnacentral:rRNA from 1 species